rnacentral:rRNA from 1 species
GAAGCUGGAUUCGCUAGUAAUCGCGCAUCAGCCACGGCGCGGUGAAUACGUUCCCGGGCCUUGUACACACCGCCCGUCAAGCCAUGGAAGCCGGGAGUGCCUGAAGUGCGUGAGCGCAAGCAGCGCCCUAAGGUAAAACCGGUGACUGGGGCUAAGUCGUAACAAGGUAUC